rnacentral:rRNA from 1 species
AGUGAACGCUGGCGGUAGGCCUAACACAUGCAAGUCGAACGGCAGCACAGUAAGAGCUUGCUCUUACGGGUGGCGAGUGGCGGACGGGUGAGGAAUACAUCGGACUCUACUUUUUCGUGGGGGCUAACGUAGGGAAACUUACGCUAAUACCGCAUACGACCUACGGGUGACAGCAGGGGAUCUUCGGACCUUGCGCGAUUGAAUGAGCCGAUGUCGGAUUAGCUAGUUGGCGGGGUAAAGGCCCACCAAGGCGACGAUCCGUAGCUGGUCUGAGAGGAUGGUCGGCCACACUGGAACGGGGACAGGGACCAGACUCCUACGGGAGGCAGCAGUGGGGAAUGUGGGACAAUGGGCGGAAGCCUGAUCCAGCCAGACCGCGUGGGUGAAGAAGGCCUUCGGGUUGUAAAGCCCUUUUGUGGGGAAAGAAAAGCAGCAGGUUAAUACCCAGCUGUUCUGACGGUACCCAAAGAAUAAGCACCGGCUAACUUCGUG